rnacentral:rRNA from 1 species
CGCGUAGGCGGUUUGGUCAGUUGGAUGUGAAAGCCCAGGGCUUAACCUUGGAAUUGCAUUCAAUACUGCCAGGCUAGAGUACGGUAGAGGGGGUAGAAUUCCACGUGUAGCGGUGAAAUGCGUAGAGAUGUGGAGGAAUACCAGUGGCGAAGGCGGCCCCCUGGAUCGAUACUGACGCUGAGGUGCGAAAGCGUGGGGAGCAAACA